UGACAUGAGUGAUGCUCAUGGAUGUUGACAUGAGUGAUGCUCAUGAAUGUUGACAUGAAUGAUGGUCAUGAAUGUUUAUGUAUGAUUGUCAUGAGUGAUGCUCAUGAAUGUUUAUGUAUGAAUGACAUGAGUAGUGCUCAAGUAUAAUUUGGAGUACUAGGCGUACUUUUGAUGACCUGGUUGGUGCUAUUUCAGGCCUAUGGGCCUUUGCCCUCCACAACAUGUCAGCCCAUUUGUUUUGGGCUUUUCCU
rnacentral:lncRNA from 1 species